GGUUAAGUUAGAAAGGGCGCACGGUGGAUGCCUUGACACUAGGAGUCGAUGAAGGACGGGACUAACGCCGAUAUGCUUCGGGGAGCUGUAAGUAAGCUUUGAUCCGAAGAUUUCCGAAUGGGGAAACCCACCAUACGUAAUGGUAUGGUAUCCUUAUCUGAAUACAUAGGGUAAGGAAGACAGACCCAGGGAACUGAAACAUCUAAGUACCUGGAGGAAGAGAAAGCAAAUGCGAUUUCCUGAGUAGCGGCGAGCGAAACGGAACAUAGCCCAAACCAAGAGGCUUGCCUCUUGGGGUUGUAGGACAUUCUAUACGGAGUUACAAAGGAACGAGGUAGACGAAGCGACCUGGAAAGGUCCGUCGUAGAGGGUAACAACCCCGUAGUCGAAACUUCGUUCUCUCUUGAAUGUAUCCUGAGUACGGCGGAACACGUGAAAUUCCGUCGGAAUCUGGGAGGACCAUCUCCCAAGGCUAAAUACUCCCUAGUGAUCGAUAGUGAACCAGUACCGUGAGGGAAAGGUGAAAAGCACCCCGGAAGGGGAGUGAAAGAGAUCCUGAAACCGUGUGCCUACAAAUAGUCAGAGCCCGUUAAUGGGUGAUGGCGUGCCUUUUGUAGAAUGAACCGGCGAGUUACGAUCCCGUGCGAGGUUAAGCUGAAGAGGCGGAGCCGCAGCGAAAGCGAGUCUGAAUAGGGCGUUUAGUACGUGGUCGUAGACCCGAAACCAGGUGAUCUACCCAUGUCCAGGGUGAAGUUCAGGUAACACUGAAUGGAGGCCCGAACCCACGCACGUUGAAAAGUGCGGGGAUGAGGUGUGGGUAGCGGAGAAAUUCCAAUCGAACCUGGAGAUAGCUGGUUCUCCCCGAAAUAGCUUUAGGGCUAGCCUUAAGUGUAAGAGUCUUGGAGGUAGAGCACUGAUUGGACUAGGGGUCCUCAUCGGAUUACCGAAUUCAGUCAAACUCCGAAUGCCAAUGACUUAUCCUUAGGAGUCAGACUGCGAGUGAUAAGAUCCGUAGUCAAAAGGGAAACAGCCCAGACCGCCAGCUAAGGUCCCAAAGUGUGUAUUAAGUGGAAAAGGAUGUGGAGUUGCUUAGACAACUAGGAUGUUGGCUUAGAAGCAGCCACCAUUUAAAGAGUGCGUAAUAGCUCACUAGUCGAGUGACUCUGCGCCGAAAAUGUACCGGGGCUAAAUACACCACCGAAGCUGCGGAUUGAUACCAAUGGUAUCAGUGGUAGGGGAGCGUUCUAAGGACAGUGAAGUCAGACCGUAAGGACUGGUGGAGUGCUUAGAAGUGAGAAUGCCGGUAUGAGUAGCGAAAGACGGGUGAGAAUCCCGUCCACCGAAUGCCUAAGGUUUCCUGAGGAAGGCUCGUCCGCUCAGGGUUAGUCAGGACCUAAGCCGAGGCCGACAGGCGUAGGCGAUGGACAACAGGUUGAUAUUCCUGUACCACCUCUUUAUCGUUUGAGCAAUGGAGGGACGCAGAAGGAUAGAAGAAGCGUGCGAUUGGUUGUGCACGUCCAAGCAGUUAGGCUGAUAAGUAGGCAAAUCCGCUUAUCAUGAAGGCUGAGCUGUGAUGGGGAAGCUCCUUAUGGAGCGAAGUCUUUGAUUCCCCGCUGCCAAGAAAAGCUUCUAGCGAGAUAAAAGGUGCCUGUACCGCAAACCGACACAGGUAGGCGAGGAGAGAAUCCUAAGGUGUGCGAGAGAACUCUGGUUAAGGAACUCGGCAAAAUGACCCCGUAACUUCGGGAGAAGGGGUGCUUUCUUAACGGAAAGCCGCAGUGAAUAGGCCCAAGCGACUGUUUAGCAAAAACACAGCUCUCUGCGAAGCCGUAAGGCGAAGUAUAGGGGGUGACACCUGCCCGGUGCUGGAAGGUUAAGGAGAGGGGUUAGCGUAAGCGAAGCUCUGAACUGAAGCCCCAGUAAACGGCGGCCGUAACUAUAACGGUCCUAAGGUAGCGAAAUUCCUUGUCGGGUAAGUUCCGACCCGCACGAAAGGUGUAACGAUUUGGGCACUGUCUCAACCAGAGACUCGGUGAAAUUAUAGUACCUGUGAAGAUGCAGGUUACCCGCGACAGGACGGAAAGACCCCGUGGAGCUUUACUGUAGCCUGAUAUUGAAUUUUGGUACAUUUUGUACAGGAUAGGCGGGAGCCUUUGAAACCGGAGCGCUAGCUUCGGUGGAGGCGCUGGUGGGAUACCGCCCUGAAUGUAUUGAAAUUCUAACCUACGGGUCUUAUCGACCCGGGAGACAGUGUCAGGUGGGCAGUUUGACUGGGGCGGUCGCCUCCUAAAGUGUAACGGAGGCGCCCAAAGGUUCCCUCAGAAUGGUUGGAAAUCAUUCGUAGAGUGCAAAGGCAUAAGGGAGCUUGACUGCGAGACCUACAAGUCGAGCAGGGACGAAAGUCGGGCUUAGUGAUCCGGUGGUUCCGCAUGGAAGGGCCAUCGCUCAACGGAUAAAAGCUACCCCGGGGAUAACAGGCUUAUCUCCCCCAAGAGUCCACAUCGACGGGGAGGUUUGGCACCUCGAUGUCGGCUCAUCGCAUCCUGGGGCUGUAGUCGGUCCCAAGGGUUGGGCUGUUCGCCCAUUAAAGCGGUACGCGAGCUGGGUUCAGAACGUCGUGAGACAGUUCGGUCCCUAUCCGUCGUGGGCGUAGGAAAUUUGAGAGGAGCUGUCCUUAGUACGAGAGGACCGGGAUGGACGCACCGCUGGUGUACCAGUUGUUCUGCCAAGGGCAUAGCUGGGUAGCUAUGUGCGGAAGGGAUAAGUGCUGAAAGCAUCUAAGCAUGAAGCCCCCCUCAAGAUGAGAUUUCCCAUAGCGUAAGCUAGUAAGAUCCCUGAAAGAUGAUCAGGUUGAUAGGUUCGAGGUGGAAGCAUGGUGACAUGUGGAGCUGACGAAUACUAAUAGAUCGAGGACUUAACCAU
rnacentral:rRNA from 1 species